rfam:Oryctolagus cuniculus chromosome 1, whole genome shotgun sequence.
CCAGGUUGAGGUAGUAGGUUGUAUAGUUUAGAAUUACAUCAAGGGAGAUAACUGUACAACCUCCUAGCUUUCCUUG